AAGUUUUUAAGAAAAGUAUUUUUGAUACAAGAAAGAACUGAUAUGUUAUAAUAAGACUAUCUUAUUGUUAUGUGAAAGAUAAAUAUUAUUUGCCUAUCCACUAGAGACUAUUAUGGUCUGGUAAAGUUUUCUUGUCAACAUUUUAUUUCUUUUCAUUGCAUAACUGAAAAGAUAAAUAUUUACUGAUAAGAUGUUUAAUUUUGUCAAUAUAAAAAGAUAUUCUACCAGAUGCUUCAGAAGAUAAACCCAGAAUAGUGCGCUCUGUUUUAAAAUACCGUUUUUGCCACGAUUUAUAGGUUGGUGUAUUUUCUUUAAAUGCCACAAUCACCACUAUAAAUUUACAAAUGAAUUUGGGAUAAAUUUUUAAUUUCAAUUUUUCAUCAAAUAAAGAUUGUGUAACACAACCUGUGUCGUGUUACACAAUCGGUGUUACACAAGAUUGUGUAACACCGACUGUGAGCACAAACAGAUUUAUAUCUAUAUUUUGAUAGAUUCUUGCCAUUUUGUGAAAGGUUUCUAUAAUUACAGUGUCUUUAUCAUACAGUGUAUCAACGUGACUUAUGUCUGUAGUGUGUGGUUUCAGCUUUCAUAAUUGUAUUUUAUCAACUAAAAUAUGACAAACGGCAUUCCAUGGACGAAUGUAAUGAAACGAAUUUUAACAAGAGUCAACAAUUACUUUUCAGGUGAUAUCUGCAUUUAUGGUAAAAAAAAAUUGAUUGAUUGUGGCAUUUUCAAUUUGAUGGAAAUGAUUUCGAUGCAGUGCUCUAAUUAGAUACUUCCACUCAAUGUAUAACAAUAGUAAUUUUUGAAAUGGAAUAUUUACAACAAAAAUCUUGAAAAUUGUCUAAUAUGAUUUAUUCAUCAACAAAUUGAAAAUUGUCAACGCAAAAUACAGCUCUUGCCAGCUGGUGGUGGCUGCGUCUUGUUUGCUGGAAGCAACCGGAAGUCAUCCGAGAUUUCGAACAGAGGUGCUGGCUGCGCGUGAGAUUUUGAAUACGCCCGAGUUGACAGUUUAAUUAGGAAUGUACGGCAUGCGCACACAUCAUCUAACAAAAGAGUAGACAGAAAUGGAGGCCUUAGUCUAACUUGUUUCAGUCUAUUGCAAGACAAAGUGAAAACUUAAACAUAUAAUAUACUUACUUUUUGUAAGAAGUUAACUUCUAUUAAUUAAAUAAUACUGUAUUUUUUGGUUUAAAAAAUUGGGUGUAAUUAAUUUAUAUUUAAAAAAUUCAGACUCAAGUUUCUAUUGUUUGUUAAUGUCAUACUUUAUCAUCUAGUGUUUAACAAUUAAGUAAUAUAAUCUAAACAGAUAUAAUUAAGAUAAUAUUUUUAUGUAAUUUAUUAUUAAUAAAUUUGCAAAUCUAAGUAUAACACUUUUAUAAACUGUUGUAAGCAUGUACUUUUAAUUAAAAUAAAAAUUAUUAUUAUUAUUGUUGAUAGUAAAAUUAACUCUUAAAAUCAGAAUAAACAUAGAAAACGUGAUAACUUAAUCAGGAGAGUGGAAUUUAAUGGUUUCUGUUCAUUUGGAUUUAUUUUUAUAAAAUAAAAUUACUAAAAGUGAAAUUGAUGGCAAAAUUAAGACAUUGGACCUUAUUAUAACCAAGUGCCUCAUUUGACCUCAACAAUUAAAAUAAGUGAUUAGUUGAACCAGUCAUUGAUAUUUAAUAUCACUGUAAUUUUUCUGCCCAGGUGCUUCUGACUUUGAUUAUUGUUUUUUAAAAAUAAUCAAUCAUAAAUUGAAUUAUUUAUGGUCAAUGAAAUACUGUUAGGAUACAGAAGUUAUUAGUCAUAAAAAUCAUUUUUAUGAAAUUUAAUAAUAUAUAGACUGAUUGUAAAGUUCCCAUAUAAGAAAUGGUAUUCUGGUUCUACAUCAUAUUGGAUGUAGAUCCAAUAUGGUGUAGCCUCCUCAAAGUCCAGACAAAUGUACAUGAUUACAACAUAUGUUUAUAAUAGUAUGUCAAUUCAUUUUGGGUGAGUUAAACAAUUAAAUAUCUAGUUGAAAAAAUUUUUCAACAGAUAUUUAAUGUUGUAAAGCCAACAACUAUCGGGACUGUUCUAAAGACAUUAUUUUCCAAAUUGGUGGUUGAAUGUCAAGAACAAAUGUAGGAAAAAAACUAAAUUUACAAUGAGAAUAAAAAGAGGGUACAGGUAACUUUAAUUACACUGCAUAGAGGUUCCACAUAAUAGAUAAAUAAGAGACAUAAAUAAG